rfam:Hordeum vulgare subsp. vulgare, WGS project CAJW01000000 data, contig: morex_contig_2551590
UACUCCCUCCCUCCGUCUGGAAUUACUUGUCGUAGAAAUGGAUGCAUCUAGAUAUAUUUUAAUUCAUAGAUACAUUCAUUUCUUUCCAUUUUGGUGACAAGUAAUUCCAAACGGGGGAGAGUACA